ACUAGUGUUGAGAGUGUAGCUACUGUACCAGAGUGUAGCAAAAGGUAUCAGUGACCCCACCACAGCUACCAGCACUGAACAAAGUAUUGUCACUAAGGCUUGCUGUUAGUAUAUCAAUUGACAGUGUCUCUGUUUAUAUUUAAUAUAAUAAUGUGAUGCUUUCUAUUCAGAGUUUGCUUUAUUAACAAUAACAGUAAUAAUUAUCAGUUAGUAUUGAUAUAACAAUCAUUAGUACCAGGUCAAGUCAAAAGUUGAGCAGGCCACUAAAGACAAGUACAGUACUUUCACUGCUUACAAAUACAUUAAGAAAGGAAACAUCUACCUAAUCACGGUAAGGGUCGUUAUGUUGAUGUGAAGAUUGAUUACCGGUUUGGGAAAAAUACUUUAAAAACAGCAACAGCUGCUGCCAGUGGAAUGGAUGCUCCACUCAAGUUGUAGACAUUAAAAAAAGAAUAAACAGAAUUAAUUAUUACUAGUAAUUGAUCAGUUUUUGGCAAUAGAA